rnacentral:rRNA from 1 species
UACGUAGGUGGCAAGCGUUGUCCGGAAUCACUGGGCGUAAAGCGCGCGCAGGCGGCGAUCUACGUCUGGGGUGAAAGCCCGGAGCUCAACUCCGGGACUGCCUUGGAUACGGGAUCGCUUGAGGAUUGGAGAGGCAAGGGGAAUUCCACGUGUAGCGGUGAAAUGCGUAGAUAUGUGGAGGAACACCUGUGGCGAAGGCGCCUUGCUGGCCAAAUUUCUGACGCUGGAGGCGCGAAAGCGUGGGGAGCGAACAGG